rnacentral:lncRNA from 1 species
AGCAUGAAGGGGGAGGAGCCCCUUAUAAGACAAUCAGAUCUUGUGAGAACUCACUAUCAUGAGAACAGCGUGAAGGAAACUGGCCCCAUGAUCCAAUCACCUCCCACUAGGUCCCUUGUCAAUACCUGGGUGACAAAAUUAUCUGUACACCAAAUCCCCAAGAAAUGCAAUUUACCCAUGUAGCAAAUCUGCAUGUACAAACAAACCACAUGUACACCUUGAACUGAAAAUAAAUGCUGGGAAGAAAAAAGAAGAAACAUACCCAAACAGAAUAAAGACUAUAUAUGAUAAGCCCACAUCUUACAUUACACUCCAAUUGUAGAAAGUUGGAAGACUUUUCUCUAAGAUCAGGAACAAGACAAAAAUGCCCACUCUAUUCAAGGUAUAGUAUUAGAAGACCUA